CUGACUCUACCUGGGUUCUGUGUGAGCCAUGGUUCUAGGGGGAUGUAAAGCUGAUCAAGAUACAGCUCCUGACCUCAAGGAACUUGAUAUUCUAAAAGGGAAACAAGGCAAGAACAUGACUUACUUAGAUACAAUGCCAGAGACAUACAAACGAAUGAAUAUGGGAAUUCUGUGAAAGGAAAGGUAUGGAGAGAGGGACUGGGCAUUGCAGGAAAAAUCUGGGAAGCUUCAUGCAAGAUGAGUGUUGGGUUCUGAGAACUGGAGAUGAGAGAAGGCCAUGUUAGGAGUAAGGAACAGCAUGGCCGGAUGCUCCGAAGAGGGAAAAAGAAGGAUACAGUUGGUAAGGAGUCCAAUUUGGCCAGAAUGUGAGGAAGAAAGCACCAUUGAGAAUUAUGCGUCGCGACCGGAGGCCUUUAACACCCCGUUCCUGAACAUCGACAAAUUGCGAUCUGCUUUUAAGGCUGAUGAGUUCCUGAACUGGCACGCCCUCUUUGAGUCUAUCAAAAGGAAACUUCCUUUCCUCAACUGGGAUGCCUUUCCUAAGAUUGCUUCCCUGUGAAAAGGUUUCUGCCCCAUGGAGCUCAGCCUUAACUUGGGAGACACACAACUGUUGAAUGAACAAACAAAGGUCCAGCCUCCUGAACAGCUACCAUUUGCUUCUGUGAAACACCUGUCGGUGCCUCCUUUUCCAGCC